AGAGUUUCGGAUCCGUGGACGUCAAGGCGAACGGCUGGCGGCGUGCCUAACACAUGCAAGUCGAGCGAUGAAGUUCCUUCGGGAACGGAUUAGCGGCGACGGGUGAGUAACACUGGGUAACCUGCCUUAUAGAGGGGAAUAGCCUUCCGAAAGGAAGAUUAAUACCGCAUAAAGUUGUUGAUUCGCAUGGAUCGAUAACCAAAGGAGCAAUCCGCUAUAGAUGGACCCGCGGCGCAUUAGCUAGUUGGUGAGGUAAUGGCUCACCAAGGCGACGAUGCGUAGCCGACCUGAGAGGGUGAUCGGCCACAUUGGGACUGAGACACGGCCCAGACCCCUACGGGAGGCAGCAGUGGGGAAUAUUGCACAAUGGGGGAAACCCUGAUGCAGCAACGCCGCGUGAGUGAUGAAGGCCUUCGGGUUGUAAAGCUCUGUCUUUGGGGACGAUAAUGACGGUACCCAAGGAGGAAGCCACGGCUAACUACGUG
rnacentral:rRNA from 1 species